GGGAUGUGUCUCAGUGGUAGAGUGCUUGCCUAUAGCAUGCAUGAGGCCCUGGGUUUGAUCCCCAGCACCACCA
rnacentral:tRNA from 1 species